rnacentral:rRNA from 1 species
CCUACGGGAGGCUGCAGUGAGGAAUAUUGGUCAAUGGGCGUAAGCCUGAACCAGCCAAGUCGCGUGAGGGAUGAAGGUUCUAUGGAUCGUAAACCUCUGUUAUAAGGGAAUAAAGUGCGGGACGUGUCCCGUUUUGUAUGUACCUUAUGAAUCAGGAUAGGCUAACUCCGUGCCAGCAGCCGCGGUAAUACGGAGGAUCCGAGCGUUCUCCGGAUUUCUUGGGUUUAAAGGGUGCGUAGGCGGCCUUGUAAGUCAGCGGUGAAAGUCUGUGGCUCAACCAUAGAAUUGCCGUUGAAACUGGGAGGCUUGAGUAUGUUUGAGGCAGGCGGAAUGCGUGGUGUAGCGGGGAAAGGCUUAGAUAUCACGCAGAACCCCGAUUGCGAAGGCAGCCUGCCAAGCCAUGACUGACGCUGACGCACGAAAGCGUGGGGAGCAAACAGGAUUAGAUACCCGGGUAGUC